UACGUAGGGGGCAAGCGUUGUCCGGAAUCAUUGGGCGUAAAGCGCGUGUAGGCGGUUCGGUAAGUCUGCUGUGAAAGUCCAGGGCUCAACCCUGGGAUGCCGGUGGAUACUGUCGGGCUAGAGUACGGAAGAGGCGAGUGGAAUUCCCGGUGUAGCGGUGAAAUGCGCAGAUAUCGGGAGGAACACCAAUUGCGAAGGCAGCUCGCUGGGACGUCACUGACGCUGAGGAGCGAAAGCGUGGGGAGCGAACAGG
rnacentral:rRNA from 1 species